CUCACGAUCAAGGGGAAAAGUGAAAGCUGAAUUGCCCGAAGGAAUGCGGAGAGGUCAGAGAGUCUGAGGAGAGCUGGGAGGUGUGGAAUAUGGCGAAACUAGAGGCGGUGUGUGAAAUCUGCAUGUUCCGGCCAGCACAUCUGCGCCGAAGGCCGAACACUGUGGGUCGUCAUGGUCCCAUCCACUCGCCCUGGCCUGCAAAACUCUAAAUGGAUCCCAGUCUUAGUGCUGCUCCUCUUGCCUCCCCACCAUGACAGCGGCUGUGGCCUCGCAGGUACCCGCGGGAGCAUCGACACUCCCCAGCUGCUCUGCAGGCAGAAUGGGACCAUGGGCUUCUGCUCGUGAAAUGCAUCAUUUCUAAACUGAGGCAGCUGACAGCCAACUCCACUUCUCUCCUGCCCUGACCACGGACCCCGGAGGACUCACGUUCCAAACGGCAUGGCCAGAAGGUGAAGGAGCACUGCGUGACCCACGCCAGAGGAGGAAAGCGGAAAGCAGGCAGAUCUUCCGUACACCACUGGGAACUGGGAUCUGCCUAAAGCAGC
rnacentral:lncRNA from 1 species